rnacentral:lncRNA from 1 species
GUCUUCUGAAAAAAAAUUUUUUUAAAUUGAAUUUCUCUGAUCACUGAAUUUUUAAUUAAGAAAAUUUAAAAGUCUCCUCUAAAAUAUUUUUUUAAUCCAAAUAAAAGUUAAUAUGGAGGGCCUGGAAAAGUAGACCAGGGGUUAAGAUGGCUGCCCUUCCAGAGGAUGUGGGAGUUUAAUUCCCAGCACCCAGGGGGUAGCUCACAAGCAUCUGUAACUCCAGUCCCAGAAAAUCAAACACCCUCUUCUGCUCUCUGAGGGUACCAGGUCUGAAUGCAUGCAGUACACAGGCAAAAAAAGAAAAAAAAAAAAACACAAAAAUAAGCAACCUUUUGUUAAAGUAAAUUUUGGUUCUGUUUAGCAUACAGAAGGGAUACAAGAGUAAUUACCUGAAUUCAUAUACUGAACUCCUGUGACAUAGAAGGGGCAUCUGUGCCUGUCAGCAUCAAGUCAGUGCUCCCAGCAGCAGAUUGGAAUGACAUGGAGCUCAUGGCUGUGAAAUGGGUAUCGCUAUGGAAUAUCUGUACCUUUUAUUUACUUGGAAAAUAGUCUUAGGAAUGGAGUGAAUUGCACACAAUUGCUCCUUUUCUCAUCAAAUGACUCAGAACCUCAUAGGAAUCGCCCUCAGUGAUCAUUUCUGAAAUUAGAAUCUUCUAUUGCCAACCCUGUAAAGAAUAUACACUAAAGAAAAUCCACCCCUACAUGUCUCCACAGUAGAAAUUGUGUCUUGUCUUCCCAGUAAUGCUUUGCAAAUGUCAUUUUCCAUCUUAGAUUUGUUGACAAAAUAUUUGACAGGAGCGACUUUAAUAUCUGCUUAGUUGGAAGUUUCACUGGAUAACAAUAAAUGAUGACGAAUUUGAACAUAAAAAAUUAAAUCCUUUCAUAUUUCACAGGAGGAGAGUGACUAUAUUUUGCUUUUGAGUCCUGUUUCACUUAAAAAUUCUUGGAUAGAUGAUCUUUUCUAUUUGGAAGGUUUUGUAUUAAACUACUAUGAAAAGUACUUUGCUACAUUUAUACUUCCUGAAACAAAACUUAGAAUAUUUAUGUACCCACAUGCUAUAGCAUUCUUCCCUCUAUUAAAUUUUAACUUGAGAAGCACAGAUUUGCAUAGGAAUGUCUCCUUUAAAGUGUAAGUUGUCGAUUUGAAUACUGUAAAUUCAAAUUUGCUAUUGCUGUGCUCACCGUGGCAAAGAACUGUAGAUUUAUCAUAGAUUUCCUGCCAGACAACUGUGUGAUACAAAACGUAUGGAGAAGAAACUAAAUCCCAAGCCCUAUCAAGAUGAAAAAUGUAAUUGUCCUGAGUUUAAGAUUGUAUCUCAGCUUAACAUAUGAAACAUCUUCUCUCCGCAAGGGCUGGUUCACAGGACGUUCUGCUUGUCCCUUUUCUUCCUUCUUUCAUCUCUCCCUUCCUAUCUCCCCUUUUCACCUUCUCUCCCCACUUCCUUUGCGUCUCUCUGCCAUAACAAUAUAUCCUACUGUGAUAUAAACUCAGUCUCCUCAUAGCCUAAUGGAGGCAGGAUAAACAGAAACACAAACGUGGUAGAAACGUGUGCAAGCUAACGGUGCAGCAUUGCCCAGCGACGGCGGUUUUGUCCUGAGUACUUUGAUUCUAAAGCUAAGGAAACAGGAGCUAACAAUAUAAACAACAACAGCAAUAACAACAAAAU